UAUAGUUCUAAAAAGAAGGUGUUUAAAGUUUUCAUAUUGUUGUUUAAAUUUAUUUCUUUUACACUUUUAAUAAUGAAAUGCCAGAUAUAAACCAUUUACCACUUAAUUACUGAUAUAUUCGAUUUAUAAAUGAUGAGGUCAAACCCGCGGAAUAAUACAAUAUUUACUUCGAGAAGGCGAGAAAAAUCUUAAACGUGGGCGAACCUGGGAGCUGUUUAAACAAGACGAAGACAAUUAAAGUAGGCGGAGAAAGAAUCAUCAGACCGAGAAAAGAAUGCCAUUCAAAAGCAUUCUUGACCUCAAGGAGGAAAAAUGGUAUAACUGUCAAAGUGUUUACAAAAGGAACACAUCGCCAAAAACAACAAGAAUGGGUGAAGGCAAGAAUAGAUGUACCAAAUGCCAUAGAGGAAUCUGCAGUUUAAAUGACCAUGCCCACAUCACCAAUAAAGAAGGUUUCUGAAACAAAGACUUCUCCAUGGAGAUCCAUUUUCUCUGUUAAGAGACAAAUAAUCAAAAAUGAAGCCUCAAAAACUGUUACGGUUAAUGGAACAACAUAUUUAUUAGAUCAAUAACUCUUCAAGAAGAUAACCCAUGUACAUUGAUGUCACUCUUUAGACAGAACUUGCAGAACAAGAACAACAGAUAGGGAAUUCAAAUCAAAAUCUCCCAUUGUCUGUUGAAUGAGUUGCAAGAUAUGGAACUCUUAAUUCAAAAAAUACAGCCACUUCAAAUUCAAAUUAGUGGACACAUGGAAGCACUUAGGUCUACAAUUGCAAUAGGGCCAUUAAAGAACAAUCACUGGAUUCAAACUACAGGGACAUUACAGUUCAACUAUAAUCAGUAAUGAAACAACAUUAUCAGAAAGUGACAACCAUGCCUCCAGUCUCUCCUUCAAUGAACCAAAAGAUUAUCUCUUGGAGUAAAAUCCCAAUUAACAUUAUUACCACACAACAAGGAUCUGAAAUUCUCAGUCUGAAUAUUGCAUUUACUGACAACAACCACAACACCAAUCUCAAAUGAGAAGGAGAUGGAUUUCAUACUGUAAUUUCAGCUCUAUUUAUCAACUCAAAAUUUUUUGUAUACUUCUGAAAAUUAAUUAUUCCCAAUAGUUAUGUAAAAUUCUGAGGAAAAAAAUGUUUUCGAAGUAUACACUCUCCCUCCUUUUUAUAUAUUGUUAUAACAAAUAUCAUUCCAAUUUUUAGAAAAAAACGUUUU